rnacentral:rRNA from 1 species
AUUGAACGCUGGCGGCAGGCUUAACACAUGCAAGUCGAGCGGAGAUGAGGUGCUUGCACCUUAUCUUAGCGGCGGACGGGUGAGUAAUGCUUAGGAAUCUGCCAUUUAGUGGGGGACAACAUUCCGAAAGGAAUGCUAAUACCGCAUACGUCCUACGGGAGAAAGCAGGGGAUCUUCGGACCUUGCGCUAAAUGAUGAGCCUAAGUCGGAUUAGCUAGUUGGUGGGGUAAAGGCCUACCAAGGCGUCGAUCUGUAGCGGGUCUGAGAGGAUGAUCCGCCACACUGGGACUGGACAACGGCCCAGACUCCUACGGGAGGCAGCAGUGGGGAAUAUUGGACAAUGGGCGGAAGCCUGAUCCAGCCAUGCCGCGUGUGUGAAGAAGGCCUUUUGGUUGUAAAGCACUUUAAGCGAGGAGGAGGCUACCUGGAUUAAUACUCUAGGAUAGUGGACGUUACUCGCAGAAUAAGCACCGGCUAACUCUGUGCCAGCCGCCGCGGUAAAAC